GAUGAACGCUGGCGGCGUGCCUAAUACAUGCAAGUCGAGCGAAUGAACGAGGAGCUUGCUCGGCUGAAGUUACGGGCGGACGGGUGAGUAACACGAGGAUGCCCUACCUAUAAGACUGGGAUCACGUAGGGAAACCGGAUAUAAUACCGGAUAAUAUAUUGAACAGCAGGGAUCAAUAGUGAAAGACCUAUUUGCUGACCCUAAUAGAGGUAUCCUAGCCGCAUUAGCUAGUGGGUAAGGUAACGGCUUACCAAGGCGACGAUGCGUAGCUGACCUGAGAGGAUGAUCCGGCACACUGGAACUGAGACACGGUCCAGACUCCUACGGGAGGCAGCAGUAGGGAAUAUUCAGCAAUGGGCGAAAGCCUGACCCAGCAAAGCCGCGUGAGUGAUGAAGGUCUUCGGAUCGUAAACCUCUGUUAGUAGGGAAGAACAAAUGUGUCUUAAGCUAUGGACGUUUUGACGGUACCUAAUCAGAAAGCCACGGCUAACUACGUG
rnacentral:rRNA from 1 species